rnacentral:rRNA from 1 species
UACAGAGGUCCCGAGCGUUGUUCGGAUUCACUGGGCGUAAAGGGUGCGUAGGUGGCAUGGUAAGUUUGAUGUGAAAGCUCAGGGCUCAACCCUGAAAUGGCAUUGAAUACUACUGUGCUGGAGGUUUGGAGGGGGGACUGGAAUUCUUGGUGUAGCAGUGAAAUGCGUAGAUAUCAAGAGGAACACCAGUGGCGAAGGCGGGUCUCUGGACAGUUCCUGACGCUGAGGCACGAAGGCCAGGGGAGCAAACGGG